CUUCACGACACAAACCUUGGUAAUUGAUAAGAAUCAAUGUAACUAUAACCCAUUUUUAGGCAAACUUCAAAGUAUUUAAGUAGCUCCUACUAUAUGGGAGGUUGCAAAAACAAACAAAACAAAAUGCUUCUUCCUUACUGAAUAGCCAAUUAUACAGAUAACUACGAAAAUUUCUGCAAGUUCUAAUGGUCAUAAGCCGAUUUGAUGAACACGUAAACAUAAACACUAACCAAGACCAGCUGAUGGAUCUCUAGGACGUGCAUCAACAUCUACUGGAGGUGGCCUGAUUAUAAGAUCAAUGAGCCCAUAUUCAAGGGCCUUCUGAGCAUUGAAGCGUUUCAUUCUGCUCAAGUCCUUGUUAAUCUUCGCAUGCAUAGUAAACAUGUUCUUACUUUGCCCAGACUAUGUUAUUGAACAAUAUGCACCGCCCAUAAAUCUUGCGAGACAAGCAAUUUAAAUGAUUUAAAAGAAGAGUAUAAAAAGAAAGGGGAGAAAGAUUCAUGUGAACAUUGUUGUUUUGGUAGGUAUCUACGAGUCACAUUUAUCAUUAAAGAUCUCAAGCAAUGUUGCUUUUUAUGGUUGCAAAAUAAACAAACAAUGAAAACCAGUGGAUUAAAGGAAGCAAAAGACAGGGCAGUAGAAAGUCCUUCAUUGACACACUAACCUUCUCAGAAGAUUGUCCAGUUUUCUUAGCCAACUCGUUGUAAAGGUAGUCCUUGAUCCUAAGAAGCUCAUUUGUUUCAUUACGAAUGUCAUCAGCCUGACCACGAGCAGCCCCUGCAGGUGAUUGUAGAGCAAUUCUUGAAAGAGGCAUUGCAGAGCGAUUUCCCUUCAGCACAGAAGAAGAAUCAUAAGAGAGUCUCAAGAUGGAAAUUCAGGUUUCAAUCACAUUGCAAACAAUUUAGCAAAAAUUUUAAAUAAAAUUAGAAUGGAUAAUGCAAAAAAAAUCAUCAAUACAAUACUCUGCUAUGAAUUGCAAGGGUACAACUAAUGAGACUAUGAUUUCAACAUAUCACGAUUCAAUAAAUCUACCAUGAGAUCAACAUGGUAAAAAAUACAGCAGACACUGUCCAGAAUGUGGAAUAAAGUUAUUUACUACCAGUGCCAGUCAACAUUUGUUCAAGUAGAUGACUUUUAUGGGGGCCAAUUCCCCAAAUUGUGCCACACUUGAUUAACAUUGAGUUCACAAUCUACCUAUUGAGAAUAGCAGCCAUAAUUUCAUCCAUUCAGAUUCCAAUAGAAGAAAACAUUAGUACAUUA
rnacentral:misc_RNA from 1 species